GUGCUCACUUUUGGCAGCACAUAUAGUAAAAUGGAAAGGAUAGAGAUUAGCAUGGCCCCCCCCAUGAAAGGAUGACAUGCAAAUUUCCGAAGAAUUCCAUAUUUGG